UGGGGAAUUUUGGACAAUGGGGGCAACCCUGAUCCAGCCAUGCCGCGUGAGUGAAGAAGGCCUUCGGGUUGUAAAGCUCUUUCGGCCGGAACGAAAUCGCAUGGGCCAAUACCCUGUGUGGAUGACGGUACCGGAAGAAGAAGCACCGGCUAACUACGUGCCAGCAGCCGCGGUAAUACGUAGGGUGCGAGCGUUAAUCGGAAUUACUGGGCGUAAAGCGUGCGCAGGCGGCUCUUUAAGUCAGAUGUGAAAGCCCCGGGCUUAACCUGGGAACUGCGUUUGAAACUGGAGAGCUGGAGUGUGGCAGAGGGAGGUGGAAUUCCACGUGUAGCAGUGAAAUGCGUAGAGAUGUGGAGGAACACCGAUGGCGAAGGCAGCCUCCUGGGCCAACACUGACGCUCAUGCACGAAAGCGUGGGGAGCAAACAGG
rnacentral:rRNA from 1 species